rnacentral:rRNA from 1 species
GUCGAGAAUUUUUCACAAUGGGCGAAAGCCUGAUGGAGCGACGCCGCGUGGGGGAUGAAUGGCUUCGGCCCGUAAACCCCUGUCAUUCGCGAGCAAACGUUAUUAUUUAAAAGAUGAUAGCCUGAUAGUAGCGAAAGAGGAAGGGACGGCUAACUCUGUGCCAGCAGCCGCGGUAAUACAGAGGUCCCAAGCGUUGUUCGGAUUUACUGGGCGUAAAGGGUGCGUAGGUGGUGGGGUAAGUCGGAUGUGAAAUCUCCGAGCUCAACUCGGAAAGUGCAUUGGAAACUACCCUGCUCGAGGGUUGGAGGGGGGACUGGAAUACUUGGUGUAGCAGUGAAAUGCGUAGAUAUCAAGUGGAACACCAGUGGCGAAGGCGAGUCCCUGGACAACUCCUGACACUGAGGCACGAAAGCUAGGGGAGCAAACAGGAUUAGAAACCCCAGUAGUCC